GAGAGAGGCUCGCCAGCAAUAGGAGCUGCUAACUCUUACGUCUUUGGUUGAACCCCAAGGCUCACUCG
rnacentral:tRNA from 2 species